GAAGGCAGGUUCUGGGACACUUGUGUCCCAGAACCCGCCUUUUUAUACUACUUAUAGAUAGUUUUUUGGGAACAAUUUCUUUUUACAAACAUAUGUUGAUAGAGCGAUGUGCUCAAUUUGGAUGGCCUUUGCUAGUCUACAGAUUUCUAGAUUUCUGCUUCUUACAUCACAAUUCUCUAGCUUUCCAUUUCAAUUGGCUCCAGUUAACCUAAAUUCUGAUAUUUUCACACUUUAAGGUAAUUAACUUAUUUUAUUCUUCAUAUCCCCUCUUGUGCCCUUUUUUAUAUGAUGCUUAGCAAGAAAAUACAUAAUUAAAAAUUUUGCUUUGAUUUGUUACAGGCCUCUAUCGGUUGGAGUGAAUUAAACAUCGGAUUUGGUGACACGAGGUGAUACUUCAACACUAAAUUUAUUAAGACAGACCAAAGUGGGAACAGAACUGCAGAUACAUAUUAUACUAAAAUCCACCAUGACAGAUGAAUAUGAUGCCAACUAGUUGGAUUAGAUUUGAAAAAAAGUUCUUCUCCUUUCUACAUCUGAUGAAAGCUAUUUUCAUGGGAAUAGAACUGCAGACGCAUAUACUAAAAUCCACCAUGACAGAUGAAUAUGCUGCCAAACUACAGUUGGAUUGGAUUUAAAACUCCUUUCUACAUCUGUUGGAAACCAUUUUUAGACCAAGAGCAGAGAGACUAUACUCCUCAUGAAGCUCAAAUCAAGGACGAUAGCAGUUCAAAGUAAAAAUAUAUAAUUAGUUAUAAAAUGAAAGUUCAAUUUUUGUAAUACUUAAUAAAAAUCAUUGCAUUUU